GAUUAACGCUAGCGGCAGGCAUAAUACAUGCAAGUUGAACGUGAUCAAUUGUAGCAAUAUGAUUGUGAAAGUGGCGCACGGGUGCGUAACGCGUAUGCAACCUGCCUCCAACCGGGGAAUAGCCCCUCGAAAGAGGGAUUAAUACCGCAUAACAUAACCGGACGGCAUCGCCUGGUUAUCAAAAUCAAGGUGGUUGGAGAUGGGCAUGCGUGACAUUAGCUAGUUGGUGAGGUAACGGCUCACCAAGGCAACGAUGUCUAGGGGGUCUGAGAGGAU
rnacentral:rRNA from 1 species